UACGUAGGGGGCAAGCGUUGUUCGGAUUCAUUGGGCGUAAAGGGUGCGUAGGUGGCGCGCUAAGUCAGGUGUGAAAUUUCGGAGCUUAACUCCGAAACUGCAUUUGAUACUGGCGUGCUUGAGGACUGGAGAGGAGACUGGAAUUCAUGGUGUAGCAGUGAAAUGCGUAGAGAUCAUGAGGAAGACCAGUGGCGAAGGCGGGUCUGCUCGUGAUCUGAGCACUGAAGG
rnacentral:rRNA from 1 species